rnacentral:rRNA from 1 species
AGAGUUUGAUCCUGGCUCAGAACGAACGCUGGCGGCAGGCCUAAUACAUGCAAGUCGAGCGCAUCCUUCGGGAUGAGCGGCGGACGGGUGGGUAACGCGUGGGAAUAUGCCCUUCUCUAAGGAAUAGCCUCGGGAAACUGAGAGUAAUACCUUAUACGCCCUUCGGGGGAAAGAUUUAUCGGAGAAGGAUUAGCCCGCGUUAGAUUAGGUAGUUGGUGGGGUAAUGGCCUACCAAGCCUACGAUCUAUAGCUGGUUUGAGAGGAUGAUCAGCCACACUGGGACUGAGACACGGCCCAGACUCCUACGGGAGGCAGCAGUAGGGAAUCUUAGACAAUGGGGGAAACCCUGAUCUAGCCAUGCCGCGUGUGUGAUGAAGGCCUUAGGGUCGUAAAGCACUUUCGCCAGAGAUGAUAAUGACAGUAUCUGGUAAAGAAACCCCGGCUAACUCCGUGCCAGCAGCCGCGGUAAUACGGAGGGGGUUAGCGUUGUUCGGAAUUACUGGGCGUAAAGCGUACGUAGGCGGAUUAGUAAGUUAGAGGUGAAAUCCCAGGGCUCAACCCUGGAACUGCCUUUAAUACUGCUAGUCUUGAGUUCGAGAGAGGUAAGUGGAAUUCCGAGUGUAGAGGUGAAAUUCGUAGAUAUUCGGAGGAACACCAGUGGCGAAGGCGGCUUACUGGCUCGAUACUGACGCUGAGGUACGAAAGUGUGGGGAGCAAACAGGAUUAGAUACCCUGGUAGUCCACACCCGUAACGAUGAAUGCCAGA